UCUACAUCAGGUUGUUUACUCCAUCAUGUUCUAAUCUACAUCAGGUUCUUUACUACAUCAAGUUCUUAUCUACAUCAGGUUCUUUACUCCAUCAGAUUCUUUACUCCAUCAGGUUCUUAUCUACUUCUUAUCUACAUCAGGUUCUUUACUCCAUCAGAUUCUUAUCUACAUCAGGUUCUUAUCUACAUCAGGUUCUUAUCUACAUCAGGUUCUUAUCUACAUCAGGUUGUUUACUCCAUCAGGUUGUUUACUCCAUCAUGUUCUAAUAUACAUCAGGUUGUUUAUUCCAUCAGGUUGUUUAUUCCAUCAUGUUCUAAUCUACAUCAGGUUGUUUACUCCAUCAGGUUAUUAUCUACAUCAGGUUGUUUACUCCAUCAGGUGCUUUACUCCAUCAGGUGCUUUACUCCAUCAGGUGCUUUACUCCAUCCGGUUCUUAUCUACAUCAGGUUGUUUACUCCAUCAUGUUCCAAUCUACAUAAGGUUCUUUACUCCAUCAGGUUGUUAUCUACAUCAGGUUGUUUACUCCAUCAAGUUCUUAUCUACAUCAGGUUCUUUACUCCAUCAGAUUCUUAUCUACAUCAGGUUGUUUACUCCAUCAGGCUAUCUACUCCAUCAGGUUCUUUACUCCAUCAUGUUCUAAUCUACAUCAGGUUGUUUACUCCAUCAUGUUCUAAUCUACAUAAGGUUCUUUACUCCAUCAGGUUCUUAUCUAUAUCAGGUUGUUUACUCCAUCAAGUUCUUAUCUACAUCAGGUUCUUUACUCCAUCAGAUUCUUUACUCCAUCAGGUUCUUAUCUACUUCUUAUCUAUAUCAGGUUCUUAUCUCCCUCAGGUUCUUUACUCCAUCAGGUUCUUUACUCCAUCAGGUUCUUUACUCCAUCAGGUUCUUAUCUACAUCAGGUUGUUUACUCCAUCAGGUUCUUAUCUACAUCAGGUUCUUUACUCCAUCAGGUUGUUUUCUACAUCAGGUUCUUAUCUACAUCAGGUUCUUUACUCCAUCAGGUUCUUAUCGACAUCAGGUUGUUAUCGACAUCAGGUUGUUUACUCCAUCAGGUUCUUAUCGACAUCAGGUCGUUUA
rnacentral:lncRNA from 8 species